rnacentral:misc_RNA from 1 species
UCCGGUUUGUCACCGGCAGUCUCCUUAGAGUUCCCGCCAUUACGCGCUGGCAACUAAGGACAAGGGUUGCGCUCGUUACGGGACUUAACCCAACAUCUCACGACACGAGCUGACGACAGCCAUGCACCACCUGCACACCAACCACAAGGGAAGCCCUAUCUCUAGGGAUGUCUGGUGCAUGUCAAACCCAGGUAAGGUUCUUCGCGUUGCAUCGAAUUAAAGAACAUGCUCCGCUGCUUGUGCGGGCCCCCGUCAAUUCCUUUGAGUUUCAGUCUUGCGACCGUACUCCCCAGGCGGAAUGCUUAAUGUGUUAACUUCGGCACCCAGGGUAUUGAAACCCCUGACACCUAGCAUUCAUCGUUUACGGCGUGGACUAC